ACAGUCCCGGCCACAAAGCCACUCAGAAAACGCCGGGAGCCUCUGAGGCGGGAAGCAAAACUCUUGACAGCCAUCGCACUCGAGGAACCGGCCUUCUGCCACUGCGUGUGCGCACACCGACCUGGAACUUGAAAGCCAAUCACCACCGCGGAACCUGAACACGCACAAGGAACCUGAAGCAGCUGGUACCGAGCCCCUCCCACGCCCUCGCAGCUGAGUGCCUAGCGUGCCCCCUGGCGACAAACCUGGAGGACCAGGCGCUCCCCACACCCAUAGCGGGUCCACUGGGCCAGAUGAUGAGCGUGAGUGUGCAGUCUUGGCCACCAGUGGUGUGCAUAUAUAGUCCUGAGAUCGUUUAAUAGGUCCGUGAAGUAUGCUGCUGGGAUUUCAAUUGGGAUUGCAUUGAAUCUAUAUAGCAGUUUUGGAAGUAUGACCAUUUUCCCUAUGUUGAUUCUUCCUACACAGGAGCAAGAAUUCUAGAAAAAAAAGAGGGGAAAAAGUCACUGUCGUUUUUAACAACUAAGCCCCUCGCUGGCAGUCUUAGCAUUGCCAGUGGGGUCUCCUGAAGGAUCUCCCAACAAUCACUUGCUUCCAGACAGCCUCUGACAAUGACUUAAGACACUUUUCGAAUUAAAACUCAGAUGUUACCUAAU